AGUGGACGCUGGCGGUAGGCCUAACACAUGCAAGUCGAACGGCAGCACAGUAAGAGCUUGCUCUUACGGGUGGCGAGUGGCGGACGGGUGAGGAAUACAUCGGAAUCUACUUUUUCGUGGGGGAUAACGUAGGGAAACUUACGCUAAUACCGCAUACGACCUACGGGUGAAAGCAGGGGAUCUUCGACCUUGCGCGAUUGAAUGAGCCGAUGUCGGAUUAGCUAGUUGGCGGGGUAAAGGCCCACCAAGGCGACGAUCCGUAGCUGGUCUGAGAGGAUGAUCGGCCACACUGGAACUGAGACACGGUCCAGACUCCUACGGGAGGCAGCAGUGGGGAAUAUUGGACAAUGGGCGCAAGCCUGAUCCAGCCAUACCGCGUGGGUGAAGAAGGCCUUCGGGUUGUAAAGCCCUUUUGUUGGGAAAGAAAAGCAGCAGGUUAAUACCCCGCUGUUCUGACGGUACCCAAAGAAUAAGCACCGGCUAACUUCGUG
rnacentral:rRNA from 1 species